rnacentral:rRNA from 1 species
UACGUAGGGGGCAAGCGUUGUCCGGAUUUACUGGGCGUAAAGAGCGUGCAGGCGGCCAAACAGGUCCGUUGUGAAAACUGGAGGCUCAACCUCCAGACGUCGACGGAAACCGUGUGGCUAGAGUCCGGAAGAGGAGAGUGGAAUUCCUGGUGUAGCGGUGAAAUGCGCAGAUAUCAGGAAGAACACCAAUGGCGAAGGCAGCUCUCUGGGACGGUACUGACGCUGAGACGCGAAAGCGUGGGGAGCGAACAGG